GAAGAAGAAGAAGAAGAAGAAGAAGAAGAAGAAGAAGAAGAAGAAGAAGAAGAAGAAGAAGAAGAAGAAGAAGAAGAACCAUGUGCUCACCUAGUUGGUCUGUUUGUCCGCGUUAUUACAUUUGAAGACGAUUAUACAUCAUCAUUAUCAUGGAAGGGAACGACCGAAGACACCAUACCAUUCUUACUGAGGGAGAAGGACCUGUGCCCCUACAGUCUGCCGAUUCACCUUUUUAUCAGUGCCCAUUCUGCUCUUAUAAGACUGCAGAAAGGCAUUUGGUGAUUAACCACAUACAAAAUCAUGCAACGGUGAAACAUAAAGGUAAAAGCCAAUGUUAGGGCAUAACUUGAACAACAAACAAAAUGCAUGUGAACAGACAACAUACAUAUGUAUAUAUAGGUACUUUAUUUAUCCCAAAGGAAAGUGAUGCACAAGCAAGGUAGAAAGAUACAUAUU